CAGAGAGGAGGCUGGGGCUAGUGUUUACAUCGGCCAGCUGACGUGAGCAGUUGCCGGGGAGCACGAGGAAAUUGCCGUGGCCGAGAAGGAGAGAGAAGGAGAGAGACUGUGUUCCUUUUAGCACUAGACUGGGAAUAAGCUUGUUUGCUUAGCCAUUGGGGCCUGAAGAAUCUCUCGUUGUUGGUGCUGUGAUUAAUUAAUGAUUUUCUUUCUCUUUCUGUGGCGGGUUUAAAGAUGUCCUGAGUUGUGAAGGUACAAAGACUAGAAAAACAUUACAGAGAACAAAGCUGAAAACUUUUAUGGUUGUGAAGUGGUAGAGAAACAAGAAGAGGAGGAGAGAACAAGAGACACUGAGAGAGAAGAGGAUAAAAGAGACGAAAUAGGAAAUAAACGUAUCAAGAAAAUAUCAAAGCAAAGUAGUCGCUGGAGACCAAGAACUCUACCCCUCUUCUACCCCUCUUCUACCCCCUUC